rnacentral:rRNA from 1 species
UACGUAGGAUGCAGGCGUUAAUCGGAAUUACUGGGCGUAAAGCGUGCGCAGGCGGUCUUUUAAGUCAGAUGUGAAAUCCCCGGGCUUAACCUGGGAACUGCGUUUGAAACUGGAAGGCUUGAGUGUGGCAGAGGGGGGUGGAAUUCCACGUGUAGCAGUGAAAUGCGUAGAGAUCGGAAAGAACACCAACGGCGAAAGCACUCUGCUGGGCCGACACUGACACUGAGAGACGAAAGCUAGGGGAGCGAAUGGG